rnacentral:lncRNA from 1 species
CCCUGAGUCCCGGCCCUUGAGGGUCCAUGAGACUGGGGCAGCAGCAGGGGCAGGUACAGAGCACCUCAGCCGCCUCUCCACCUGACAGCAACAUCAAAGCCGAGGCCAAGGCGGGAGGGCCCAGAGUGAGACACCUCUUCCAGACAAGACUUGGUCGCUGCCUCCUCCUCUGUCACCCUGCGACACAGCCCAGAGUACCAGGCGGCUGGAGCACUGGGGGACACCCGGACAGAACCCUCCCUGGACCAAGUCCUCCAGGAACGGGAUGAAGCCAUUGCCAAGAAGCAGGCGGUGGAGGCGGAACUGCAGAGGUGCAAAGCCAGGCUACACGCCAUGGAGGCCCAGCUGCUGGAGGUCCUGGAGGAGAAACUGAGGCUGAGGCGGGAGCUGGAGGCCUGGGAGGAGGACGUGCAGCAGCUGGUGUGGCAGCAGGUCCAGAAUCAGCUGCAGAGAGAGGCCAAGGGUACUCGGGG